GAUGCAAAAUGAUGAACUAUUCACGGAUGUUUACUUUUCACACCGACGAGCGCAUAACCCCAUGUGGAAAUUGCCGUUGCCUUCCUUCUGACCUUGCAU
rnacentral:snoRNA from 1 species